rnacentral:rRNA from 1 species
UACGGGGGGGGCAAGCGUUGUUCGGAAUUACUGGGCGUAAAGGGCUCGUAGGCGGCCAACUAAGUCAGACGUGAAAUCCCUCGGCUUAACCGGGGAACUGCGUCUGAUACUGGAUGGCUCGAGUUUGGGAGAGGGAUGCGGAAUUCCAGGUGUAGCGGUGAAAUGCGUAGGUAUCUGGAGGAACACCGGUGGCGAAGGCGGCAUCCUGGACCAACACUGACGCUGUUGAGCGAAAGCCAGGGGAGCAAACGGG